rnacentral:rRNA from 1 species
CGGAACGGGUGAGUAAUGCGUGACCAACCUGCCCCAUGCUCCAGAAUAGCUCUUGGAAACGGGUGGUAAUGCUGGAUGCUCCAACUUGACGCAUGUCUUGUUGGGAAAGUGUUUAGUGGCAUGGGAUGGGGUCGCGUCCUAUCAGCUUGUAGGCGGGGUAAUGGCCCACCUAGGCCUCGACGGGUAGCCGGCCUGAGAGGGCGGACGGCCACAUUGGGACUGAGAUACGGCCCAGACUCCUACGGGAGGCAGCAGC